AUUGAACGUUGGCGGCAGGCUCAACACAUGCAAGCGGAACGAGUGGCGGACGGGUGAGUAAUGCCCGGGAAAGUGCCUGGUGGAGGGGGAGAGCUACUGGAAAUGGUAGCUAAUACAGCAUUCCAUCGCUUGUGCACAGAUGGGAUUAGCGAGCUUGUGGGGUAAAGGCCUACCUAGGCGACGAUCCCUAGCUGGCCUGAGAGGAUCACCAGCCAACCUGGGACGGCGACCCGGUCCAGACGCCUACGGGAGGCAGCAGUGGGGAAUAUUUCGCAAUGGGCGCAAGCCUGAUUCAGCCCUGCCGCGUGUCUGAAGAAGGCCUUCGGGUUGUAGAGUACUUUCAGCUGGGAGGCGUUACCCGCAGAAAAAGCACCGGCUAACUCCGUGCCAGCCGCCGCGGUAAUUC
rnacentral:rRNA from 1 species